rnacentral:rRNA from 1 species
AAUAGAUACCCAGGUAGUCCACGCCGUAAACGAUGAGUGCUAAGUGUUAGAGGGUUUCCGCCCUUUAGUGCUGCAGCUAACGCAUUAAGCACUCCGCCUGGGGAGUACGGCCGCAAGGCUGAAACUCAAAGGAAUUGACGGGGGCCCGCACAAGCGGUGGAGCAUGUGGUUUAAUUCGAAGCAACGCGAAGAACCUUACCAGGUCUUGACAUCCUCUGACAACCCUAGAGAUAGGGCUUUCCCCUUCGGGGGACAGAGUGACAGGUGGUGCAUGGUUGUCGUCAGCUCGUGUCGUGAGAUGUUGGGUUAAGUCCCGCAACGAGCGCAACCCUUGAUCUUAGUUGCCAGCAUUCAGUUGGGCACUCUAAGGUGACUGCCGGUGACAAACCGGAGGAAGGUGGGGAUGACGUCAAAUCAUCAUGCCCCUUAUGACCUGGGCUACACACGUGCUACAAUGGAUGGUACAAAGGGCUGCAAACUGCGAAGGUAAGCGAAUCCCAUAAAGCCAUUCUCAGUUCGGAUUGC